GACGAACGCUGGCGGCGUGCCUAAUACAUGCAAGUCGAGCGAAUGAUGAGGAGCUUGCUCCUCUGAUUUAGCGGCGGACGGGUGAGUAACACGUGGGCAACCUGCCCUGUAGACUGGGAUAACUUCGGGAAACCGGAGCUAAUACCGGAUAAUUCUUUUAGCCUCAUGGCUUUAAGCUAAAAGGCGCUUCGGCGUCACUACAGGCUGGGCCCGCGGUGCAUCAGCUGGUUGGUGGGGUAAUGGCCUACCAAGGCAACGAUGCAUAGCCGACCUGAGAGGGUGAUCGGCCACAUUGGGACUGAGACACGGCCCAAACUCCUACGGGAGGCAGCAGUAGGGAAUCUUCCACAAUGGACGAAAGUCUGAUGGAGCAACGCCGCGUGAGUGAUGAAGGUUUUCGGAUCGUAAAACUCUGUUGUAAGGGAAGAACAAGUGUGUAGGUAAUGAACGCACCUUGACGGUACCUUAUUAGAAAGCCACGGCUAACUACGUGCCAGCCGCCGCCGUAA
rnacentral:rRNA from 1 species